rnacentral:rRNA from 1 species
CGAACGCUGGCGGCGUGCCUAAUACAUGCAAGUCGAGCGAACCAAUUGAAAGCCUUGCUUUCAUGAGGUUAGCGGCGGACGGGUGAGUAACACGUGGGUAACCUGCCCUAUAGACUGGGAUAACUCGCGGAAACGCGUGCUAAUACCGGAUAACACAUCAAAGUGCAUGCUUUGAUGUUGAAAGAUGGCUCCGCUAUCACUAUAGGAUGGGCCCGCGGCGCAUUAGCUUGUUGGUGGGGUAACGGCCUACCAAGGCGACGAUGCGUAGCCGACCUGAGAGGGUGAUCGGCCACACUGGGACUGAGACACGGCCCAGACUCCUACGGGAGGCAGCAGUAGGGAAUCUUCCACAAUGGGCGAAAGCCUGAUGGAGCAACGCCGCGUGAGCGAAGGAGGUCUUCGGAUCGUAAAGCUCUGUUGUAAGGGAAGAAUAAGUGCAGUAGUAACUGGCUGCACCUUGACGGUACCUUACUAGAAAGCCACGGCUAACUAC